GUGCUCAUUUUGGCAGCACAUAUACUAAGGCUGGAAUGAUACGGAGAAGACUAGGGUGGCCUCUGCACGAGGAUGACAUGCAAAUUUGUUAAGUGUUCCAUGUUUUU
ensembl:snRNA U6 U6 spliceosomal RNA